AAAGGAUACUGGUGGUGGAGAUGGCUUGGUAACACCUUCCAUCAGGAUCCGCUGUAUCGUUGGGCCCCCAAGUGCAUGUGACAGCCAGCCCCCAACCCUGGCAGGUCCUCCCAGAGCCAGGCCUCGCCUUCUGGAACUUGCCGCCAUGGCCAGCAGGUUCCCAGAGCUGUCUGUGCUGUGCGCAUCACUCCCAGAAUCACAGUGGACUUUCCUCCGUCUAAAGUACGAGUCGCCCUGCAGCGGGGUGGCCAACUGUGACAGCAGUAGUCUGCGUUGAAGGAAGGGUCAGGUCCCUGGAGCAGUGUUUGCUGCGUGCCCACAGACACCAGGCUUCCAGGAAAACCAAGGGGCACCCACCGCCCACCUGUGUACAGUUCAGGGAUGGACAGGGCUCAGCACCGAGCUCACUCCCAAGGACACCAGAGCAGAAGGGCCUGGAACUUGGCAGCGUUUGGCCUGCAGAGACAGUCAGCUGGGAACCUGAGGUCAGAGGAGGUGGCAGGAGAGGACGGCACAGACCAUCAGGCAGAGGUGUGAGUGGCCGGGCAGGACCUGGGGCAGACAGGGGGGCGGAGGACUGGGGUGGGG
rnacentral:lncRNA from 12 species